CACGUUGGGAACGAUCUCUUCUCC
rnacentral:siRNA from 1 species